CAGUAGCCGCGGUAAUACGUAGGGUGCGAGCGUUAAUCGGAAUUACUGGGCGUAAAGCGUGCGCAGGCGGUUUUGUAAGACAGGCGUGAAAUCCCCGGGCUCAACCUGGGAAUGGCGCUUGUGACUGCAAAGCUAGAGUGCGGCAGAGGGGGAUGGAAUUCCGCGUGUAGCAGUGAAAUGCGUAGAUAUGCGGAGGAACACCGAUGGCGAGGGCAAUCCCCUGGGCCUGCACUGACGCUCAUGCACGAAAGCGUGGGGAGCAAACAGGAUUAGAUACCCCUGUAGUCCCUGUCUCUUAUAC
rnacentral:rRNA from 1 species